UGAUCAGAAAAGCUAUGAUGUCGCCAUUAACGGAAUUUCCCGAUGGCGCCAUCUUGGCUUUCCCGAUGACGUUUUCUGAUUGGCUAAUUCAUCCAGGGAUUAGUAUUCAGAAAGCGCCGAACACACAAAAAUCGGCUUCGCUUUUUGUAUACAGUAAGAUUAAAAGGACGUUUUUCUAUCAAACGGAACUAAGCGCCAUCGGGGGGGGGGGGCAUCGCGAGAGGGGGGGGGCUUGGAUUGGCGGGUGUUGCCGAACGCGAUGCUCGUUCCGCAACACCCAUGCUGCCGUGCUAAGGAGGAACGCCGUAUGAACAUUCGAGAGUUGCCAAAUUUCCUUCGAAAAAAUGUUCAUUUUUGAUGAAAGUUAUGAAUAUUUUCCUUUAAAAUUUCAGAAUCUUUAGGUAAAAUUGUGAACUAAAUUAUCUGAAAAAUUGGGAGGAAAAUAUUCAUAAAUUUAUCAGGAAAAUUGCGUUUUAUAAAAGGAAAUUCGGCAACGCCUGAAGGUUUAUACGGCAUUUUUCCUUAGCAUGGCAGCAUGGCGCUUAGUUCCAUGGCGUUAUCCAUGGCGCUUAGUUCUGUUUGAUAGAACGCGGUAUCCGGGAUUCUAAAAUCCUCAAAAUGAACGCAAUUUGGCGCUUCGUUCCGUUUAACAGAAAUACGUCCAAGCUUAAAAAAAAAAAAAAAAAAAAAAAACGUUUUUUUGAACAUCCUCGAAAAAUUGUAGGGUAUUUUGUGCUUCGUUCCAAAUCAUCGGCAUUACCUCGGGUCGAAAUCAUGAAGUUAUUUCUACCACCGAAGCCGCCAAAACCACCGUGGCCACCACCGAAACCGCCCCCGUAGCCACUGCUGAAGCCACCAUUGAAGGGAACGUUGUAUCCAACCCCAAAACUACCACUAAAACCCCUGUUUAAGCCAUUCUUGAAGCCACUGGCGGGGUUAAAGCUGGAGAAGAUCCCCGCGUUCGACCCAAGCAUGCCUGGAGAUGUUUCGUAACUGUCUUCAACAUACGACCUGGAGGGUGCGUAAUCGUCACUUGGGUCAUCCCAACCUCGAGUUGGAGUCCGCGAUCCUCCAGUUCGCCUCGGCGACCCUGCAGUCGGUGUCCGCGACCCUGCAAGUCGGCUCGAUCCUCCAAUCGGGGUCCUGGAUCCCCGACUUGGAGGAGUCGGAGGGCCCAUGUCGUCUUCGUAUUCGUCGUCGUCAUCCCAUUGUGGGAGCCGCGACUUUUGAAUUCUCGCGAAAGGGUCAGCAUCCCACGGCUCAUCCGCCUCCAGUUGGUCCGCCUCCAUGUCCAUGUCACCCAUGUCUCCCAUGCGGCUGAAGCCACUGCCGCUGUAAGAACUGAAACUGUCCGAGUCCGAGUCCGAGUCCGAGUCGGCGUCGUUGUAUUCGUAAGAGUCGGCGGGGGCUGAAAAUUGAAAAAAAGGUCAACACAUUUCCGUAACGUGCUCUAUGGACAAAGAUACGGAACUCCCUUCUAAGGUUGCGAAGUUGAAAAAAAAAGUUGACAAAUUCCUCCAUUUGUCGUUUCCCGGACGAAGAUAUGGAACUCCAUUCUGAGGUUGCGAAGUUAAAACAGAAGUUAACGAAUUCCUCUGUUUGUCGUUUCCCGAAAAAAGAUACGGAACUCCCUUCUAAGGUUGCAAAGUUGAAAUAAAAAGUUAACGAAUUCCUCCAUUUGCCGUUUCCCGGACGAAGAUACGGGACUCCAUUUUGAGGUUGCGAAGUUAAAAGAGAAGUUAACGAAUUCCUCUGUUUGUCGUUUCCCGGAAAGAGAUACGGGACUCCCUUCUCCGGUUGCGAAGUUGAAAAAAAAGUUAACGAAUUCCUCUGUUUGUCGUUUCCCGGACGAAGAUACGAGACUCCAUUCUGAGGUUGCGAAGUUAAAAGAGAAGUUAACGAAUUCCUCUGUUUGUCGUUUCCCGGAAAAAGAUACGGAGCUCCG
rnacentral:lncRNA from 1 species